rnacentral:sRNA from 1 species
UCAUGCUAUUUUAGACAAAUACAUAUAAACUUUAUAACUAAAGCCAAUGGCAUUAUUGUAAAAAUAAGUAAACACAAGGAUAUUUUUGUAUUUUCUCUUUUUCAGAAAAUGUUAUUUACCUAACUUUUCUGACACAAUGUCAUUCUCUCAAUUCUUUUCCAUUUCAUAGUUAGUUUCUAAUAUUACCCAUAUUUUUAUAUACAUAGAGAUCUAUAUUUUUAUAAUUUAACAAAGACCAAAAAAAUUUGGCCAAACAACAAAUAAAUAAGGAAGACUAAGAACUUGUGAAUUGUGAUC